GUGCUCGCUUCGGCAGCACAUAUACUAAAAUGGGAACGAUACAGAGAAGAUUAGCAUGGCCCCUGCACAAGGAUGACACACAAAUUUGUGAAGCGUUCCAUAUUUUU